rnacentral:rRNA from 1 species
UACAGAGGUCUCAAGCGUUGUUCGGAUUCAUUGGGCGUAAAGGGUGCGUAGGUGGUGAUGCAAGUCUGGUGUGAAAUCUCGGAGCUCAACUCCGAAAUUGCACCGGAUACUGCGUGACUCGAGGACUGUAGAGGAGAUCGGAAUUCACGGUGUAGCAGUGAAAUGCGUAGAUAUCGUGAGGAAGACCAGUUGCGAAGGCGGAUCUCUGGGCAGUUCCUGACACUGAGGCACGAAGGCCAAGGGAGCAAACGGG